AUCCAUCUUCUCUGUUCGCUUCUUCCCUGAUACAAUUCGCACUGCCGCCGCCUAGGGCAUGUCUCCUGCCGCCGCCGCCGCCGUCGCUGCCUAGGGCAUGCCCCCAUCCACUGUUGCUAGCACAAAUCCAGUGCAACUCGUGCGCGUGCCGAUUCCUUGGCUCAGACCCGGUCAGUUUCAUAGGAGCCGAGAUGGACCUUCCCCCGCCGUCGCUGGAGCCAAACGCGUCGUGGGAGCCGGAGACCCUCGGCAAGGACGAUCAGGACUAGAUGCCCGCGCUGCGGGAGUCAGUGUCGUUCGGUCGAUUCCUAUCCGAGUCACUCGAAUGGGAUACGAUGGGCCGAUGGGGCAUGUCUUGCCGGCACCGAUGGCUACCAUAUUGCAUGACCAAUCGCUGCCGGCAGCCGGGCUCAAUGAAGAUGUACAGGUCAAUUUCUCGGUGCCGACCACAACGGUCGGAGCUCACUCUGCCUCCAAUUGUAGUGAUGCAUGCAUUGGCGAUUCUGGAGCAGGCGUGAGUUGUAGUCCGUGCUUGCCUGCUGCACAUUCCUCAGCAAAUAUUGAAGGAGCUGCACUGCAUUUGGUUGUUCAUCCUCCAAUUUCAUAGUAUCGUGUAUUGCUCUCCACAAUGUAGUCCUUGAAGUCUGCUAUGAUGUUCCUAAAAUUAUGAACUGAAAGCAGCUGUUGCAACUGUAUGACAACAAACAAAAGAAGCGAAAAAGUUAUAGAAGUACAACUACAUCUAAUGUUAGUUGUGGUUAUGGAAAUUUCAUGUCUCGCCAUGCAAUACAAGCAGAUCGAUGUUUAAGUUAGUUCAGAGCAGAUAUAUGCAUCAAUAUUUUAAUCUUUGCAGAGAAUUAGAAGAAUGCUUGCUGUGUGGACAAAAGUUCUUGUUCAGUCACUCGGUUACAACAUAUUGCUAAACAUGAAAUCUAGCAGUGUUUAAAUGUUGUCUGUUUCUUCCUCUCUUAAUAUGUCUAGCUGAAUUAUACACAUAAUCUUUCUUAUAGAGUGUAAUAUAGAAUCUUUCUUACAUAUAGUAUAGUUGAAAAUCACAUGUACAGAAUAGCGCAAGUUCGGACCAAAAUGUAUUAUUAGUCGAGUAAGUGAUUAGACUAUUUCGAAGUAUUGUCUAUAGAUUGAGUGAUUCACUAAAUUCAUACCAGACGAGGCCCAAGAAUGUUUGACUAACAAAAAUCCCAGUUGAAUUCUAUGUCAGGUUGGGACAACUGAGUACUAGAAAUCUAUGCAGCUGUAAUAAACUAGCUUACUGACCAUUUAUGUUGAGCUGAGAUUUAACAAAUGUUAUGGGUAAAUACACUAUUACUCAAAGAGGAAGCAUGGUUCACACACGAUAACAAAUGUAAAAAGGAAAAAAAAGAGGUGAAUAUAACUCGAUUGCUUGUGAGCAUGUCAUGGUCUCGUAUUUCAACAAAAGGUUUUUUUACAUGGUAUUAUAGGUCAAGAAGCUUCAAAAUAUAUCCGGGGGAUAAGAAGGAGCACCAGUCUCGAAGGUGUGCUUUUGUGCCUACCACAGGUUGGUGUAGGAAUAUGAACUCAUCAAGUGAUCUGUAGCAAUAUUGUUUCAUUCAGCUAUGUUAAUUUGUGAACUAUAUCAUCUUGUGAACUAUAUUAAGGUCAUGUUGAUUGCAAGACAAAGAUGCUAGUGGUUAAAACCGCUCAAUUUUCUUGAAGGUAUAUGUUGAUGUUCCUUUGAUAUGAAUUUUUACGAGAUGAUAUGCAAGUAUGCAGGUACACUGUUUUUGCUAGGGACAUCUUAACUUUUCAUGUAACCAGCUCGUACUAAUUUGGA